rnacentral:tRNA from 1 species
GGAAGGAUGGCCUUGUGGUUAUAAGACACUGGACUGAUAGUUGGGAGAUCUGGGUUCAAUUCCCAGCUCUGCCA